rnacentral:rRNA from 1 species
CGGCUCAGUAACACGUGGACAAUCUACCUUAUGGAGGGGGAUAACCUCGGGAAACUGAGGACAAUAACCCAUAGAAGUCAAGUACUGGAAUGUCUGACUUCUAAACGAGAAACCUGUAUUCGGUGUAUUGCCAUAAGAUGAGUCUGCGGCGGAUUAGUUUGACGGUAGGGUAACGGCCUACCGUGACUAUGAUCUGUACCGGCCUUGGGAGAGGGAGCCGGGAGAUGGACACUGAGACAAAGGUCCAGGCUCUACGGAGUGCAGCAGUCGCGAAACCUUCGCAAUACGCGAAAGCGUGACGAGGGAACCCCAAGUGUGCAUGUACAGCAUGCACUUUUGCUAAGUUUAGAACACUUGGAGAAUAAGGGCUGGGUAAGACUGGUGCCAGCCUCCGCGGUAACACCAGCAGCUCAAGUGGUGAUCACGUUUACUGGGUUUAAAGGGUGCGUAGUCGGUUUGGCAAGUUUCCUGUGAAAUCCUGGCGCUUAACGUCAGGGAUUGCAGAAAAUACUACCAAGCUAGAGACCGGGGUAGGAGUGAGGUAUUCUAGGGGUAGCGGUGAAAUGCUAUAAUCCCUGGAGGACCACCAGUAGCGAAGGCGUCACUCUGGAACGGGUCUGA